GCGGAGGUUUAGCUCAGUGGUUACUUCUCAGUACUCGUUACACUGUCUCCCUAUCGGUCCGCGGGCCCGGGGUACGAACCACGGGCGCUGUCUUCCGUCUUU
rnacentral:vault_RNA from 1 species